rnacentral:rRNA from 1 species
AACGAACGCUGGCGGCAUGCCUAACACAUGCAAGUCGAACGAGACCUUCGGGUCUAUUGGCGCACGGGUGCGUAACGCGUGGGAACCUGCCCUUAGGUUCGGAAUAACUCACCGAAAGGGGUGCUAAUACCGGAUAAUGUCUUCGGACCAAAGAUUUAUCGCCUUUGGGUGGGCCCGCGUUGGAUUAGCUGGUUGGUAGGGUAAAAGCCUACCAAGGCGACGAUGCAUAGCUGGUCUGAGAGGAUGAUCAGCCACACUGGGACUGAGACACGGCCCAGACUCCUACGGGAGGCAGCAGUGGGGAAUAUUGGGCAAUGGGCGAAAGCCUGAUCCAGCAAUGCCGCGUGAGUGAUGAAGGCCUUAGGGUUGUAAAGCUCUUUUACCCGGGAUGAUAAUGACAGUACCGGGAGAAUAAGCUCCGGCUAACUCCGUG